AUGUCAGAACAUCAUUUACUCCAAGGGGGAGGAAGGAUGGAUGCAUUCUCAGAGUAUUACCCAGGCCCAGUGACUGACAAACCUUUACUUGAGCAAUACGGCCCGAGGGGGAGGAAGGAUGCAUUCUCAGAGUAUUACCCAGGCCCAGUGACUGACAAACCUUUACUUGAGCAAUACGGCACGAGGGGUUGUGGUAUAAGGCCAAUAUACCACGGCUAUGGGCUGUUCUUAGGCACGACGCAACACGGCCCUUAGCCGUGGUAUAUUGGCCAUAUACCACAAACCCCUGAGGUGCCUUAUUGCUGUUAUAAACUGGUUACCAACUGAAUUAGAGCAGUAAAAAUAAAUGUUUUGUCAUACCCGUGGUAUACCACGGCUGUCAGCCAAUCAGCAUUCAGGGCUCGAACCACCCAGUUUAUAACCAUCAAUCGAACACUAGAAUAAAGACUCAAGGAGAAAUGUAGAAGGCUGAAUAAACUGCAAAACAAGUGUUAAAAAGAACAAAACUACAUACAUACAUACAUACAUACAUACAUACAUACAUACAUACAUACAUACAUACAUACAUACAUACAUACAUACAUACAUACAUACAUACAUACAUACAUACAUACAUACAUACAUACAUACAUACAUACAUACAUACAUACAUACAUACAUACAUACAUACAUACAUAAAGGCACAAGGGCAUUGAAUUAAAAAUGUUCACAGCAACACUGAAAAAAGACAUGGUGUGAAUACUGGCUUACUGAUGUGGUACGACACUGACGCAAAGACCAUAUUGUCACUACUACUGUAGUAAAUCUGUAGCCUCCCCCAGGCCCUCCCGAGACACUCCAUUUCCACACUUAGCCAUGCAAAAUGCCAUGAAGGAGAGAACAUCCACAUCGUAGGAAAACAAAGCUACCUGCCUGCACAGACAGACCAAGCUCCAACUAUGAACGACUGGCCUCGUCAUUUACUGGAAAAACACAGCAGCCCAAAUGUGAAGGGAGAGGAAGGCUGCAUCCUAAAUGGCAUCAAAAUCCCUUUAUAGUACACUACUUUUGAACCAGGGCCCAGAGGACUCUGGUCAUAGGUAGUGCACUAUAGAGGGAAUAGGGUGCCAUUUGGGACGUCACAUAAUAAAUCACACAAAGGUCGAGACGAUGAUUUCACAAAACAUUACAGUCAAUGUACAGCAUCUCCAAAACAGCGGAAGUCAACGGUUUAUAUGGAGCUGCUGGAGCACAAAGACAAUUCUCUGACCCAGGAGGUCAAACACAACAAUCACAAAUGUCCGUCCUUCCAUGCCAAAGCAGCUUUGCAUUAAAAUCCUGGUGCCAUAUGAACCAAACAUCUCUACUCUGACAGUAGAGUGCUGAUCUAGGAUCAGUAAAUCCUGGUGCCAUAUGAACCAAACAUCUCUACUCUGACAGUAGAGUGCUGAUCUAGGAUCAGUAAAUCCUGGUGCCAUAUGAACCAAACAUCUCUACUCUGACAGUAGAGUGCUGAUCUAGGAUCAGUAAAUCCUGGUGCCAUAUGAACCAAACAUCUCUACUCUGACAGUAGAGUGCUGAUCUAGGAUCAGUAAAUCCUGGUGCCAUAUGAACCAAACAUCUCUACUCUGACAGUAGAGUGCUGAUCUAGGAUCAGUAAAUCCUGGUGCCAUAUGAACCAAACAUCUCUACUCUGACAGUAGAGUGCUGAUCUAGGAUCAGUAAAUCCUGGUGCCAUAUGAACCAAACAUCUCUACUCUGACAGAGUGCUGAUCUAGGAUCAGUAAAUCCUGGUGCCAUAUGAACCAAACAUCUCUACUCUGACAGUAGAGUGCUGAUCUAGGAUCAGUAAAUCCUGGUGCCAUAUGAACCAAACAUCUCUACUCUGACAGUAGAGUGCUGAUCUAGGAUCAGUAAAUCCUGGUGCCAUAUGAACCAAACAUCUCUACUCUGACAGUAGAGUGCUGAUCUAGGAUCAGUAAAUCCUGGUGCCAUAUGAACCAAACAUCUCUACUGACAGUAGAGUGCUGAUCUAGGAUCACAUUGGGACCUUGGGACCUGAUCCUAGAUCAGCACUCCUACUCAGAUGUUUGAUAAAUAUGGCCUCUGUUCACAUUCCUCUCUUUGUUCAAGUCAUAAAAACAAACCAAAAAUGGUGAACACUUAGAAAUAUGAACCAACUGAUGAUGAAGAGUUGAAGCAGAGAAUAACAGCCUUCCUCUACAGUAGUCAACACGAGAGUCCAACUCAUAUUACACAGCUACAUCAUCUCUGCUUCCCAAAUGGACCCCAUUGUCUUCUUAGUGCAGUACAUUGGACUGGGGUCUGGUCAAGCUUAGUGCACUAUAUAGAGAAUAGGGCUCCAUUUACCUACAGUAGUCUGAUGGGGGUAGGGUGGGGGGGGCUUUGUCAUAAACCCUCACAUUUCCAGGAUAGGGUGAAUAAUGGAAGCCAUAUUGUUCAGGGAGGAAUCAUAACCAGUCUAACUGAAAUUAAUGGCAGUAGAGGCAUAAUCCUGAUUUGACUUCUACAGGAAAACAAAAGUAAGGCAUGUGAUAUCAGAAAUGUCUAAUGUCAAUCUAAAAUAGUCAGAAUUAUAAAUACAGUUUAUACAGGUUUUAUACACAUGUUGAUAUAGCCUCUAUAAUAUAUGUAAACAAUUGUUGUUGUUGUUUUCUUGGAAAACUGAGUGCCACUAUGAUACAAUAAUCAAUAGCUAACUUAUUGCAUUUACAACUAGCCGAAGUCCAACCAGCCAGUGAAUGGAUUGUUGGAAUGGAAUGUUGGCAUAUUGACAGUUAAUUGGACAAAUGAAUUGAAUCGUUCCUCUAAAAGCUGCCCGGUUAGCUAGCUAACAAACACACUGUAGACAAAUUCCCCCAAUUCAUUAUUUUACAAAAUAUCU
ensembl:lncRNA